UACGUAGGGCGCAAGCGCUAUCCGGAAUUAUUGGGCGUAAAGAGCUCGUAGGCGGUUUGUCGCGUCUGCCGUGAAAGUCCGGGGCUCAACUCCGGAUCUGCGGUGGGUACGGGCAGACUAGAGUGAUGUAGGGGAGACUGGAAUUCCUGGUGUAGCGGUGAAAUGCGCAAAUAUCAGGAGGAACACCGAUGGCGAAGGCAGGUCUCUGGGCAUUAACUGACGCUGAGGAGCGAAAGCAUGGGGAGCGAACAGG
rnacentral:rRNA from 1 species